rnacentral:ncRNA from 1 species
GAGCCAAGAGGUAUAAUUGAUUGAACAGAACCUUUUCCAUAAGUUUUUGUUCCAAUUACAGUGGCUCUUUUAUUAUCACCCAGUGCUCCUGCAAAUAUUUCUGAAGCUGAGGCUGAACCACCAUUAGUUAUAAUAAUUAUUUCUGCCCCAUUUGUAAUAUCACCUUUUUUUGCAAAAAAUCUUUGUUUUCUUGAUUGAUCCCUAGUUUUCGUGGAUACUAUCUCCCCUUUAUCCAAAAAUAAGUCUGUUACUUUAAUUGCCUGGUCAAGAAGACCGCCAGGGUUGUUACGA